GUCGGGAUAGCUCAGCAGAGCAGUUUA
rnacentral:tRNA from 1 species